UGUUAAAAAGAAUAUUCUCCAGUGCAAAGGUCGACCCAUUUGAUUUGACCCAAUGAAAUGAUAAAACUUAAAAUUCACAUUACUUCUUAAUGAUAGUUGCAAAAAUAUUUAUAUAUAAAAUGUUAAUAUUCCAUCAGAAAAUAAUGCAUAUUUGUUAAAAAAAGUCAUUCUCAAGUUCAAAGGUCAACCCAUUUGAUUUGCUCUAACGAAAUGAUUAGUUGCAAUGAAAUAGUUACAAAAAUAUUAAUAUUCCAUCAGAAAAUAAUGAAUAUUUUAAAAAUAAAAAUAUUCUCUGUUAAUUUAUCGAUCGACUAAAUUGACAUAUCGAUCCAGGGAGAUUCGACUUUCGAGAAUACCCGCGAGAUGAGCCAGCAAUUAUCAGAAGGUCACCGUAAAAUAUCGAUUCGCGAAGUUCGCCGGCGAACAAUUCGGCCCCGCAAUUGGAGCUCGGGUUUGGCGCGUGUAUUACCGUUGGUCGGCUCGGAUCGGCCCUUAAACGCUGAGGAAUGCAAAACUACUCGGCCGCACGCGAGAACUUCCUCGUAAAUUGCGAUUCGGAUUUUUCAAAUGAACCCGGCACUCGUGCCAGUGAACCCUUUCGUGUGUCGCUGGAGAAGAAGGUGGAUUCUAACCACAAAUUAAUGGGAGGAUUAUUGAGUGUUUAAUAUGGUUGGUGUGUCAUUGGGGAAUAUUAUAAAAUUACAGGAUGCUUAACAGCAAUAACAAAAUACCAGCAACAAUAAUAAAAUCCUUACCAACAACACUAACAAAAUACUUACCAACAACGACAAUAAAAUACUUGAAUACUAAACACUAUAUUGUCUACAGCCUCAUGGAGAUCACUGCAAAAAACAGUGUCUAUACACAAAGCCAGCAGGAUGCUCCUUCCGCUUUCAGAAUAAGUGGCAUCGCGAAAACAACGUACCCACGAAACAACAACGGUGGAAAAGGGAGCGUCUCGUAAUCGAACACGCCUGCAGCCUUUAUCUGCCGGGCAAAGAGAAAAUCUCCUUACACUUCUUUUUCCGGCGAUGCUCAGCCUUAUUUCUGCGGCACGGUCGAUAUCCUAUCAAACAGAUAUCAAUCCGUUUCAUGGGCCCCACUUUCCCGAUACGUGACGAGAAAAUGAUCGUACAUUUCGAGCGUCCCAGUACACGCUGGCAGCGACGAGGUUAGGAUUGAUGCGUUGGCUCACUAGACCGGUCAUAAAACGCUCAACUAGUGAUUGUUUCCUUUUACGAGAUGGCGUUUGGUAACAAUUCCUGGCAGACGAGAAUGGCUGUCUCCUUUUGGUUGUAUGGUGGAUUGUGGUUGGUGGAGUUGGAAGGCUGGAAGAAUUUGUGUAGUGGUGGAUUAGCUUGUCGAAUGUGGCACCGAUGGAUUAGCUUGUCGAAUGUGGCACCGAUGGAUUGCUGAGGUUGUGCUGAUUAAAAUGAGUCCAAACACGAUGGGAAUCGGAGUGGUUUUAGGAUUUGAUGGAAACCAGCCUUUAGGUUCGUUAAUUACUUUGAAGCUGUAAAACUAGUCCGAUCCCCAUCGUGUUUGGACUCGUUUUAAUCGGGACAAUCUCAGCAAUUCACUGGUACUAUGUUUGAGAAUAUAAAGAUAAAAAUAAUGCAAUUGAUAUUUUCUUCACUACGUGUUUAACUUUACUUAUUCAAAUGUGGUACUAAUGGAUUGCUGAGAUUGUGCCGAUUAAAAUGAGUACAAAUACGGUGGGAAUCGGAGUGGUUUUUGGAUUUGAUGGAAACGAACCUUUAGGUUUGUUUAUUAUAUUGAGACCAUAAAACUAGUCCUAUUCCCAUCGUGUUUGGCUUAUUUUAUUCAGCACAAUCUCAGCAAUUCACUGGCACAACAUUUCAUACCUUUCGUCAUACAAUAUACAAUAAAUAUAAAAUGGUAUAUAAACCACUUGAAACAAUAUAAAAUAAAUAUAAAAUAAUGUAAAACUAGAAAUAUAAAACAAUAUAAAACAAAUAUAAAAUAAUAAAAAAUAUUACUAUCUAAAAUAAUCACACGAGAAAAUUGCAAUCACCUAACCUACAAGCUACACGGAUAAUUUCCAUCCUCACGUACAAAGUUCCCUCCGGUGAGUCACAGUCUACCAAGAUAUGACGCGGAGAAAGUUGCCUCGCUGAUCCCCUUAAGCAUUCAGAAGGUUGGUUGUUCAGCAAUGCUUACAUGUAUUUUCGCGUUUAUCUAAUAUUUCAUAACACGAGCACGCACCGCUCGGAUGACCUACAUCCUCGAACUGUUUGAAGGUGGAAACCGGAAUAAAAUGGUGUUAGACGGUAAACUGAUCGAUAGGGUGUUGUACAGGGUGACCCGAAAAAUGUGACUGAAAUAGUAA